GUCCACGCCGUAAACGAUGUCAACUAGCCGUUGGGUUCCUUGAGAACUUAGUGGCGCAGCUAACGCAUUAAGUUGACCGCCUGGGGGAGUACGGCCGCAAGGUUAAAACUCAAAUGAAUUGACGGGGGCCCGCACAAGCGGUGGAUCAUGUGGUUUUAAUUCGAAGCAACGCGAAGAACCUUACCUGGCAUUGACAUGCUGAGAACUUUCCAGAGAUGGGAUUGGUGCCUUCGGGAACUCAUACACAGGUGCUGCAUGGCUGUCGU
rnacentral:rRNA from 1 species